AGCCGCCGCGGUAACACCAGCGGCACGAGUGGCAAUCACGAUUAUUGGGCCUAAAGCGUCCGUAGCUGGAUAUGUACAUCUUUUGUGAAAUCGCCGAGCUUAACUCGGCGGCGUGCAGAAGACACGGCAUAUCUUGGGAAUGGGAGGAGUCAGAGGUAUUUGGGGGGGACCGGUAAAAUGGUAUAAUCCCCCGAGGACCACCGAUGGCGAAGGCAUCUGACCAGAACAUGUCCGACAGUGAGGGACGAAAGCCAGGGGAGCGAACCGGAUUAGAUACCCGAGUAGUCCUGGCCGUAAACGCUGCGAGCUAGGCGUUGCACUACCUCUGUGGUUGUGCAGUGUCGAAGCGAAGGCGAUAAGCUCGCCGCCUGGGGAGUACGGUCGCAAGGCUGAAACUUAAAGGAAUUGGCGGGGGCGCACCACAAGGGGUGCGGCGUGCGGUUUAAUCGAAUUCAACACCGAGAAUCUCACUAGGGGCGACGGCACUAUGAUGGUCAGUCUGAAGGGCUUACCGGAGGAGCCGAGAGGUAGUGCAUGGCCGCCGCCAGCUCGUGUCGUAAGAUGUCCAGCUAAGCCUGGUAACGAGCGAGACCUGUAACGCUAAUUGCUAACGCCUGAUUUAUCAGGAGCGAGCACAUUAACGAGACUGCCUUGGUAACAAGGAGGAAGGUGCAGGCUACGGUAGGUCUGUAUGCUCCGAAUCUCCUAGGCUACACGCGCGCAACAAUGACCGGGACAAUGGGCUGCGACGCCGAAAGGCGAAGCUAAUCCUCGAAACCCGGCCUCAGUUUAGAUCGAGGUUUGUAACUCAGCCUCGUGACAUCGGAAUCCCUAGUAACCGGAAGUUAUCAGCUUCUGGUGAAUAUGUCCCUGCGCCU
rnacentral:rRNA from 1 species